rnacentral:rRNA from 1 species
GGCGAACGCUGGCGGCGUGCCUAAUACAUGCAAGUAGAACGCUGAAGAGAGGAGCUUGCUCUUCUUGGAUGAGUUGCGAACGGGUGAGUAACGCGUAGGUAACCUGCCUUGUAGCGGGGGAUAACUAUUGGAAACGAUAGCUAAUACCGCAUAACAAUGGAUGACACAUGUCAUUUAUUUGAAAGGGGCAAUUGCUCCACUACAAGAUGGACCUGCGUUGUAUUAGCUAGUAGGUGAGGUAAUGGCUCACCUAGGCGACGAUACAUAGCCGACCUGAGAGGGUGAUCGGCCACACUGGGACUGAGACACGGCCCAGACUCCUACGGGAGGCAGCAGUAGGGAAUCUUCGGCAAUGGGGGCAACCCUGACCGAGCAACGCCGCGUGAGUGAAGAAGGUUUUCGGAUCGUAAAGCUCUGUUGUAAGUCAAGAACGGGUGUGAGAGUGGAAAGUUCACACUGUGACGGUAGCUUACCAGAAAGGGACGGCUAACUACGUGCCAGCAGCCGCGGUAAUACGUAGGUCCCGAGCGUUGUCCGGAUUUAUUGGGCGUAAAGCGAGCGCAGGCGGUUUGAUAAGUCUGAAGUUAAAGGCUGUGGCUCAACCAUAGUUCGCUUUGGAAACUGUCAAACUUGAGUGCAGAAGGGGAGAGUGGAAUUCCAUGUGUAGCGGUGAAAUGCGUAGAUAUAUGGAGGAACACCGGUGGCGAAAGCGGCUCUCUGGUCUGUAACUGACGCUGAGGCUCGAAAGCGUGGGGAGCGAACAGGAUUAGAUACCCUGGUAGUCCACGCCGUAAACGAUGAGUGCUAGGUGUUGGAUCCUUUCCGGGAUUCAGUGCCGCAGCUAACGCAUUAAGCACUCCGCCUGGGGAGUACGACCGCAAGGUUGAAACUCAAAGGAAUUGACGGGGGCCCGCACAAGCGGUGGAGCAUGUGGUUUAAUUCGAAGCAACGCGAAGAACCUUACCAGGUCUUGACAUCCCGAUGCUAUUUCUAGAGAUAGAAAGUUACUUCGGUACAUCGGUGACAGGUGGUGCAUGGUUGUCGUCAGCUCGUGUCGUGAGAUGUUGGGUUAAGUCCCGCAACGAGCGCAACCCCUAUUGUUAGUUGCCAUCAUUCAGUUGGGCACUCUAGCGAGACUGCCGGUAAUAAACCGGAGGAAGGUGGGGAUGACGUCAAAUCAUCAUGCCCCUUAUGACCUGGGCUACACACGUGCUACAAUGGUUGGUACAACGAGUUGCGAGUCGGUGACGGCGAGCUAAUCUCUUAAAGCCAAUCUCAGUUCGGAUUGUAGGCUGCAACUCGCCUACAUGAAGUCGGAAUCGCUAGUAAUCGCGGAUCAGCACGCCGCGGUGAAUACGUUCCCGGGCCU